UAGGCAUUCUUCGACUCGUCCCCAUCUCUGCAUCUCUGCAUCUUUCAGACCAGUCUAGGUUAGUUCCAGAACUCUCUUCCUUUUUUUUUUGCUGUUCUUCUUUCAUUUUUCCUCCUUUACAUUCUGCCUGUUCGGUUUUCCACGAGCAUCCCGUUUCUUAUUUUUUUCAAUUUUUUUGAGAUUUUUAGGGUUUUCACUUGAUUCAAAAUGUCCUCCAACACUUCCUCCUCUAGCAGUUCCAGGAGUUUAUCCGUUCCAGCCCUCCAAAAUCUUAGUUCUAGAGAUGAACCUUGUCCGAUCUUUGUAUCAAACACCAUCCCCAGCUCUCUGACUCCAGAAGAACUCUCACUGAUUAAGAUUCAGUACUGGAUUCCUCCAGAGUACGAGCUGGAGCUUCCUGGGCUGACUGGCUAGGCUAGCGCCCCUCCC
rnacentral:lncRNA from 1 species